GGGAAAGCAAAUCAAAAACUCUUUUAAAAACAAAAAACUUUAUUUCCACAACUAGGCCACUUGAGUUAUUGCAUAUGGGUUUAUUUGGUCUCUCUAGGACACCAAGUCUUGGAUGAAAGUCUUUUGCUUAUGUUAUUAUGAAUGACUUAUCUAGAUACACAUGGGUCUUAUUUUUAAGUAAAAAAAAAAUGAAACUUUUUAUGAGUUUUUAAAGUUUUGCAAUAAGGUUCAAAAUGAAAAAGGUUUUGGAAUUACUUGUAUAAGAAGUGAUCAUGGAAGAGAAUUUGAAAAUGUUGAUUUUGAAAAUUAUUGCAAUAAGAAUGGAAUUGACUACAAUUUUUCAGAUCGUAGAACUCCUCAACA
rnacentral:lncRNA from 1 species